rnacentral:rRNA from 1 species
GACGAACGCUGGCGGCGUGCUUAACACGUGCAAGUCGAACGGGAUAAUUUGAGAGCUUGCUCUUAGAGAAUCUAGUGGCAAACGGGUGAGUAACACGUAGACAACCUGCCGACAGGAUGGGGACAACAUUCCGAAAGGAAUGCUAAUACCGAAUGAAGCGGAGGAGAGGCAUCUCUCCUCCGUGAAAGAUGGCCUCUGAAUAUGCUAUCACCUGUCGAUGGGUCUGCGUCUGAUUAGCUAGUUGGUGAGGUAACGGCUCACCAAGGCGACGAUCAGUAGCCGGUCUGAGAGGAUGAACGGCCACAUUGGGACUGAGACACGGCCCAGACUCCUACGGGAGGCAGCAGUGGGGAAUCUUCCGCAAUGGGCGCAAGCCUGACGGAGCAACGCCGCGUGAGUGAAGAAGGUCUUCGGAUCGUAAAGCUCUGUUGACGGGGACGAACGUGCGAAGGGUGAAUAAUCCUUUGUAAUGACGGUACCUGUCGAGGAAGCCACGGCUAACUACGUG